GCAGAUCCAAUUUUCUGCCACCGAAUACAUUAGCAUGGGAUAAUGGAAUAGGACCCUGUCCUCCUAUUUUCAGUUGGUUUUGGCAGCGCGAGGACUAGGGUAAUGAUUAAUAGGGAUAGUUGGGGGCAUUAAUAUUUAAUUGUCAGAGGUGAAAUUCUUGGAUUUAUGAAAGAUUAACUUCUGCGAAAGCAUCUGCCAAGGAUGUUUUCAUUAAUCAAGAACGAAAGUUAGGGGAUCGAAGACGAUCAGAUACCGUCGUAGUCUUAACCAUAAACGAUGCCGACCAGCGAUUAGGAGACGUUGAAUACAAAACACCACCAUCGGCGCG
rnacentral:rRNA from 1 species